AAGGCCAAAUUCCACCAGACUGAAGGGGACCACCUCACCCUGCUAGCUGUGUACAACUCCUGGAAGAACAACAAGUUCUCCAACCCAUGGUGCUAUGAGAACUUUAUCCAGGCUCGUUCCCUGCGCCGGGCCCAGGACAUUCGCAAGCAGAUGUUAGGCAUAAUGGACAGACACAAGCUGGAUGUUGUUUCCUGUGGCAAGUCCACAGUCCGAGUGCAGAAGGCCAUCUGCAGUGGGUUCUUCCGUAAUGCUGCCAAGAAAGACCCGCAGGAGGGUUACCGGACACUGAUCGACCAGCAGGUGGUCUAUAUCCAUCCUUCCAGUGCCCUCUUCAACAGACAGCCAGAAUGGAUCUUGCCAUCUUGCCUAGGCUGGCAUCAAACUCCUGAGCUCAAGUGAUCUUCCUGCCUCAGCCUCCUGAGUAGCUGGGACUACAGGUGCAUGCCACCACACCUGGCUCCCAGUCCUAAUUCCAGCCUAAAUUUUCCCCAUUCAGAAACACUCCUGGAUAUAGUGGCCCAGCCUGUCCUGACUGAGUGCCCAGCACUGACAAUGUUGACACCUGGGGAGGGAGGGUUGGGUUUCAAGCUGAGGUUGAAAAGGGAUGUUGAAUGGGCUAAGGAUAAGAGACAGCAGGGUUCGUUAUCUUUUCUGGCUCAGGUGGAGGAAAAAGAAGGAUCCCCAUUCUGUGGGUGUUCCUUGACCAUCUCUCUACGCUAGAGCUGAGGUCACUUCUCUGCUAUGACAACAUAGCUGGGUUCUGACCUUUUGACCAUCAGGAAAGCAAUGUCAGCAGCUGAGCUGAGCCUGCUCUGAGGGAGAAGGGGGGGGUCCUGUCCAGAUGCAGAAGGGGAGCUUGCCUGCUGCUCUCACACAAUGGAGCCCUUGUUUCUCUUCCUUGAACCAGUAUUUCCCAAGAUUGAGUGACAGCCCAGGAGAGGAUGUGGGUCUCAUGCAGAGAGCUGGGAUCUUCUUGGCCAUUAAAGUAUAUUGUUCACCCCCACCCCGCGAGAACCAAGCUCAGGAGUUGCCUGCCUCUGCACACAUGCUGAGUGUGCUGUUUGUGUAUAUGGCAGGACCGUCCCUAUGGGGCAUGUGUGAGCUCCGCAGCUGGGUCAGGCUCCUCGGUCCAGGUUUACUUCAUCCCGCCUGGACGUGAUUUGGCUUUGACUGUCUCUCCUGCAGCCCAAAGCACUUCCUCCCUGUGGUUGCUGUAGCUGUCUCAUUGGAGCAGUGCCUCUCCAAGUUUGAGGAUUUGAACAAAGAACUGGGACUGGUGACUUGUUAAUGAACAGUUCAGAGGGCAGAGGGCCAUCAUCUCAGCUUGUGGAGACCUUUCUUUCCCUGGAUGCUGCUUCUCAGCUAACUCCCUCUCUCUUCGUGUGUG
rnacentral:lncRNA from 10 species